rnacentral:rRNA from 1 species
GAUGAACGCUGGCGGCGUGCCUAAUACAUGCAAGUCGAGCGAAUGGAUUAAGAGCUUGCUCUUAUGAAGUUAGCGGCGGACGGGUGAGUAACACGUGGGUAACCUGCCCAUAAGACUGGGAUAACUCCGGGAAACCGGGGCUAAUACCGGAUAACAUUUUGAACCGCAUGGUUCGAAAUUGAAAGGCGGCUUCGGCUGUCACUUAUGGAUGGACCCGCGUCGCAUUAGCUAGUUGGUGAGGUAACGGCUCACCAAGGCAACGAUGCGUAGCCGACCUGAGAGGGUGAUCAGCCACACUGGGACUGAGACACGGCCCAGACUCCUACGGGAGGCAGCAGUAGGGAAACUUCCACAAGGGACGAAAGUCUGACGGAGCAACGCCGCGUGAGUGAUGAAGGCUUUCGGGUCGUAAAACUCUGUUGUUAGGGAAGAACAAGUGCUAGUUGAAUAAGCUGGCACCUUGACGGUACCUAACCAGAAAGCCACGGCUAACUACGUGCCAGCCGCCGCCGUAA